GACAGAGGAUGCAAGCGUUAUCCGGAAUGAUUGGGCGUAAAGCGUCUGUAGGUGGCUUUUCAAGUCCGCCGUCAAAUCUCAGGGCUCAACCCUGGACAGGCGGUGGAAACUACCAAGCUGGAGUACGGUAGGGCAGAGGGAAUUUCCGGUGGAGCGGUGAAUGCAUUGAGAUCGGAAGAACACCAACGGCGAAGCACUACUGCUGGCCGACACUGACACUGAGAGACGAAAGCUAGGAGCAAAUGGG
rnacentral:rRNA from 1 species